rfam:Paenibacillus dendritiformis C454 PDENDC1000028, whole genome shotgun sequence.
AUGCUGCCUAUUAUUCCUGUUCGUAUAUUCCCGGAGAUAAGGUCCGGGGGUCUCUACCAGGAGCCGUAAAUUCCUGACUACGAGCGGUGUGCUUUCGCAU